AAACAGACAGUGGGAACGAAAAUUGGGAGGAAAAGAAAGGAGAAAAGAAAAAGGAGAAAAUUAGGGAUUUGAAGCUUCAAGCUUAAUUUGGUAAGUCAAUUAAGUCUCUUUCUUUAUAAUUUUUGAUGUUUUUGAAGUCCUAGAGACAAAUAUUACUUGAUGUAAGUGAAAAUUUUAAAGUUAAUAGAUUUUUAGCAUGGGUUAU
rnacentral:lncRNA from 1 species